CGGCGACGGGUGAGUAACACGUGGGUAACCUACCUAUAAGACUGGGACAACUUCGGGAAACCGGAGCUAAUACCGGAUAAGAUAUCGAACCGCAUGGUUCGAUAGUGAAAGAUGGUUUUGCUAUCACUUAUAGAUGGACCCGCGCCGUAUUAGCUAGUUGGUGAGGUAACGGCUCACCAAGGCAACGAUACGUAGCCGACCUGAGAGGGUGAUCGGCCACACUGGAACUGAGACACGGUCCAGACUCCUACGGGAGGCAGCAGGG
rnacentral:rRNA from 1 species